rnacentral:rRNA from 1 species
GAUCUGGCUCAGGAUGAACGCUGGCGGCGUGCUUAACACAUGCAAGUCGAACGAUUGAAGCUGGAGCUUGCUCCGGCCGAUUUAGUGGCGGACGGGUGAGUAACGCGUGGGUAACCUGCCUCAUACAGGGGGAUAGCAGUUGGAAACGACUGGUAAAACCGCAUAAGCGCACGGUAUCGCAUGAUACAGUGUGAAAACACUCCGGUGGUAUGAGAUGGACCCGCGUCUGAUUAG